rnacentral:rRNA from 1 species
AUCUACAGCCAUGAAACCCUGAACAAGCCUAAUGUCUAAUCUCGGAAGCUAAGCAGGGUCAGGCCUGGUUAGUACUUGGAUGGGAGACCUAGGAAGACCAGGUGCUAUAGGCA